GAUGAACGCUGGCGGCGUGCCUAAUACAUGCAAGUCGAGCGAACGGACGAGAAGCUUGCUUUUCUGAUGUUAGCGGCGGACGGGUGAGUAACACGUGGAUAACCUACCUAUAAGACUGGGAUAACUUCGGGAAACCGGAGCUAAUACCGGAUAAUAUUUUGAACCGCAUGGUUCAAAAGUGAAAGACGGUCUUGCUGUAACUUAUAGAUGGAUCCGCGCUGCAUUAGCUAGUUGGUAAGGUAACGGCUUACCAAGGCAACGAUGCAUAGCCGACCUGAGAGGGUUAUCGGCCACACUGGAACUGAGACACGGCCCAGACCCCUACGGGAGGCAGCAGUAGGGAAUCUUCCGCAAUGGGCGAAAGCCUGACGGAGCAACGCCGCGGGAGUGAUGAAGGUCUUCGGAUCGUAAAACUCUGUUAUUAGGGAAGAACAUAUGUGUAAGUAACUGUGCACAUCUUGACGGUACCUAAUCAGAAAGCCACGGCUAACUACGUG
rnacentral:rRNA from 1 species